GAACGCUAGCGGCAGGCUUGAUACAUGCAAGUCGUGGGGCAGCAUGAGUAGCAAUACUUGAUGGCGACCGGCAAACGGGUGAGGAACACGUACACAACCUUCCUUCAAGCGGGGAAUAGCCCAGAGAAAUUUGGAUUAAUACCCCAUAAUAUAUUUGAUAAGGCAUCUUAUUAAUAUUAAAGCUUCGGCACUUGAUGAUGGGUGUGCGGCUGAUUAGAUAGUUGGCGGGGUAACGGCCCACCAAGUCUACGAUCAGUAGCUGAUGUGAGAGCAUGAUCAGCCACACGGGCACUGAGACACGGGCCCGACUCCUACGGGAGGCAGCAGUAAGGAAUAUUGGACAAUGGACGAAAGUCUGAUCCAGCCAUGCCGCGUGAAGGAUUAAGGUCCUCUGGAUUGUAAACUUCUUUUAUAUGGGACGAAAAAAGGGCAUUCUUGUUCACUUGACGGUACCAUAUGAAUAAGCACCGGCUAACUCCGUG
rnacentral:rRNA from 1 species